rnacentral:snRNA from 1 species
GUGCUCACCUCAGCAGCACGGAUACUAAAAUUGGAAUGAUACAGAGAAGAUGAGCAUGGCCCCUGUGGGAGGAUGACAUGCACAUGUUUAAAGUGAUUCUUCUUUUG